rnacentral:rRNA from 1 species
AUUGAACGCUGGCGGCAUGCCUUACACAUGCAAGUCGAACGGUAACAGGUCUUCGGAUGCUGACGAGUGGCGAACGGGUGAGUAAUACAUCGGAACGUGCCCGAUCGUGGGGGAUAACGAAGCGAAAGCUUUGCUAAUACCGCAUAAGAUCUACGGAUGAAAGCAGGGGACCGCAAGGCCUUGCGCGAACGGAGCGGCCGAUGGCAGAUUAGGUAGUUGGUGGGAUAAAAGCUUACCAAGCCGACGAUCUGUAGCUGGUCUGAGAGGACGACCAGCCACACUGGGACUGAGACACGGCCCAGACUCCUACGGGAGGCAGCAGUGGGGAAUUUUGGACAAUGGGCGAAAGCCCGAUCCAGCCAUGCCGCGUGCAGGAUGAAGGCCUUCGGGUUGUAAACUGCUUUUGUACGGAACGAAAAGACUCUGGUUAAUACCUGGGGUCCAUGACGGUACCGUAAGAAUAAGCACCGGCUAACUACGUG